GUACCUGAGGUCCAUCUUGAAUUCCUGAAGUGUGUUGUGUCGUGUGGCUUUUGUUUUGUUGGCUUGUGGCUUUCUCUCUCUCUGCUUGGACCUGUGAAAGCAGACCAGCUUCUUCUGCAGUUUGAAGGAGAUGCCUGACAGGUACAAAAGUCUCUCCUGUAGAGUGUGUCUUCCUGAGGGCAAGGAUCUAAUCUUACUACCUCUGUAUCCAUCACCAGUGCAUACUUCAGUGUGUGACACAUCACAAGCACUUGGAUAGGCCCAUCUCGACAGAGGCUGUGAGUGGUGGCUGGCCAGCCUCAGUUAAGGGUGAGCACCCACAGUUGGUCUAUGAACUGGAAGUUUCCACUGCUCAGAAGGUAGCGAGACUGGAGGAGAUAAACCACCCCAUUGCACUUCAGCCAAGCCAC